CCGUAGCUCAGUUGGAUAGAGUGUCGGCCUCCGACGCCGAAGGUCAUGGGUUCGAAUCCCCUCGGGU
rnacentral:tRNA from 1 species